AGGUCUGUGAUGCCCUUAGAUGUUCUGGGCCGCACGCGUGUUACACUGAUGCGUUCAUCAAGCAACUCACCUGGCUCGAAAGAGACUAGGUAAUCUCGAAAUCGCAUCGUGCUGGGGAUAGAUUAUUGUAAUUUUUAAUCUUGAACGAGGAAUUUCUAGUAAACGCGAGUCAACAACUCGCAUUGAUUACGUCCCUGUCCUUUGUACACACCGCCCGUCGCUCCUACCGAUUGAAUGGUCCGGUGAAGCGCUCGGACCG
rnacentral:rRNA from 14 species